rnacentral:lncRNA from 1 species
UCAACGAAAGAAUUAACACCAACAGAUCGAACCUGAAGGCCUCUAGGGUUUCCCCAUACCGAACGUAGAGCAUUAGCUAUGAUUUGGAUGUGGAUUUGGUUCCGAUACAAGACCUUCCCAGCUAGAAGCCACUUCCGCGGUCCUUCCACUCGAUCAUCAAUAAUCAGAGGAAUCGCCUGACCCCUCUUCCGAAAUAUUGAGCUUUCCCA